AUGAGGCUGGCAGCCACUAGAGGCCCUCCAAGUCCAGAACUCUACCAUGGACCUGGAAUGCUAACCAGCUCUAAGCAGUGUACUCAGCCCAGAGGCUCCAACAGCAUGUGGAGGGAGGAGACAAUUUUGUACAUGCUUGAUCCUUUUAAGGAUCCAAAUGACCUGCUGAACAUUCCAAUGCCUCGGCCUUUCCGCGUCUCUGGGCCGUGGGCGUCGGGUCUGAGCGGCGCCCUCAGCUCUGAGGGUUCGCGGCCAGCCGCUCCUUUGCGGUCUCCGCCGCCGCCGUCCGCCCUCAGCUCCCGAGAAAAGGUGGUGGGCCGGAACAGCGCCAUCGCCGCCGGCGUGUGCGGGGCCCUUUUCAUCGGGUACUGCAUUUACUUCGACCGCAAGCGACGGAGUGACCCCAACUUCAAGAACAGGCUCCGUGAACGGAGAAAGAGACAGAAGCUUGCCAAGGAGAGAGCCGGGCUUUCCAAGUUACCUGAUCUUAAAGAUGCUGAAGCUGUUCAGAAAUUCUUCCUUGAAGAAAUACAGCUGGGUGAAGAGUUACUAGCUCAAGGUGAAUAUGAGAAGGGUGUAGACCAUCUAACAAAUGCAAAUGCUGUCUGUGGACAGCCACAGCAGUUACUGCAGGUGUUACAGCAAACUCUCCCACCUCCAGUGUUCCAGAUGCUUCUGACUAAGCUCCCAACAAUUAGUCAGAGAAUUGUAAGUGCUCAGAGCUUGGCUGAAGAUGAUGUGGAAUGAGAAACAAAUGUCAACAUGAUAAGAUCUCGGUUUAAAAUGUUCUAAAAAUUCUAAACUUGGAGGCUGAGCAGUUCUGGGGGAGUAAGGGCAGAGAUGCUUGUUAGUUUAUACUUAAAGAACAUUUAAAACAUACACUUACCUGGUUGUAGCAAUGUUGUUCUAUUAACAGAUAACUAGAACUUACAUUCGCAUUUAUGUAAAGUGUGUAAAACCAGUGUAGUUCGCACAGUAGGCAGUCAGUAAAUUUUGAUUCCUCUUACCCCUCAGUAAGUUUGAUGUUUUUACCAUCUGCUUGUCUUUCUGACCUUGUUGAAUCAACCUAUGGACCAGAAUCUUAAUGAAAUGUUACUGUGGAAGAUUAUGAGAAAAUUGGUAUAUCAUGCAGAUAUCAUACAAAGUCUUGUAACGUAAAAAAUCCAGUUUUAUUAUUGCUUGUGCCUCAACUGUUUAAGUAAACAUUAAAGGGCUUGGAGAAAA